AAGGGGCAAAGCUGAAAACCUCCAAGGAGGCUCACGGCCAGCAGCAACAAAGAUCAACUUCCAUUUCUUGUCCUCCAAAAAUUAUUUUGAUGAUGUAAACCCACUAUAUUGAGGUCCCUAAGUAGCGUGGAAGCAUCGUUGGAGCGAUCAACCCAUUAUUUUCAUCUUUUGGAAACCCUAGGCUAUUGGAAAGUUGAAGAAGGAAGACCUUGGGCAGCCCGAAUCAUAGGUUGGAUUUAGCUUGAGUUUGGAUCGUAUUGGAGAGCGUUUGAGGUACAGACGCACAGCCUGGUGAUCCACCUGUUUAGGACACCCUUUCUGCUAUUCGGAGUGCUCCUCUCUUUCCGGAGCUUAUACUUUUGGUAUAUAUAUUUAUUAGUGCAUUUGUAUAUAUUCGUUCAUGGGUACGGCGGGGCCCUGUCCCGUCAUAUGAUUCUGUCGGUCUGUUUAGAGGUCUGUGGACAUGUUUGUGGGUUAGGGUCUUUCUGUAUGGAUGUAUGUACAUGUCGUUUGGGCGAUCCCAUACGCCGAGGCGGCCGGUCCGCAUAUGUUGUUUGGGCGACCCUAUACGCCGAGGCGGCCGGUCCGCAUAUGUUUAUAUAUUGCUUGGUUAGCCCUGUGUGGCUUUCGUUGGUAUUUUCUGCGUGUAGGGUAUAUUGGAUAGUCCGUAAAACAAAGGAAACUCUGCCGAAAUUUUUCUGGAAAUUACCUAAAUUUGAAAUAAAGCCUUGUCGGCUUCCGCCAUAUACUAGAAUGAGUUGAUAGAAUUUGAGAUAAUAUUUAA